ensembl:snRNA U6 U6 spliceosomal RNA
AUGCUUGCUUCAGCAGCACAUAUACUAAAAUUGGAAUGAUGUAGGGAAGAUUAGCACGGCCCC